rnacentral:lncRNA from 1 species
AUAAUAAAGGACAUGGUGAAUGAAUGUAUCAGGUUAUGGCUGAAGUAGGAUUGCUUUUCCAAAUACAUUCUCAAUGACAAGGGCCAAGGUGAAUGCUCAUAUAUACCAGUAACAUGAAUUAAAUUGGAAAACAUUAAGAAUAUGUUUUCGAAGCAACUUAGGAGUACCAAGAUUAUACAAUAUGAUAUAUUCUCUUUUUCGAAAACAAAAAGGAGGAAUCUACCAACCUGGUUCAUUUAGUUGUGUAAAAAAAAAGUAAGAAACAAGCUGUUCGAGCGAUGCUACCCAAGUAAAACAAGCAUGCUAUACGAGGCCCACAUAUGCUAUAAAAGGCUGGUUUGGGUUUUAGAAUUAGAUAUGUUCUAUUUUGGGGGUCGGAUCUUAGUUAUUUAAAUUUUGACUUAACUUGGUCCGAUCCACUUGAAAUUUGGAUAAUUUUGGAUUUACAAUCCUACGACCUGCUCCAAUUCAAUCGGAAUCUGUAAAAUUAUUUGGACUCAUGGGCCACAGGAUACAAACCAAACAAGUUAUCGCUCAGUUGGAUCGGGUGCUUAAGGCUCAGCUCAGAGCUCUGUGAUCUCUGACUUGUGAGAUCGUGCUUUUUUUGCUAAAAUCUUGUGAGAUCGUGCUUUUUUUGCUAAAAUCUUGCGAGAUCGUGCUUCGAGGCCAGAACCAGAGCAGGCGUUUAGAAAGUAAGGGUUUCGUCGUUUCGAGCCUUCGAGGUGGAGCCGUGGAGGCGAGGGAGAAGGAUGGGCGAAGAAGGUGUGAGGGGAUAAGGGAGAGAGAGGGAGGGUGGGAGAGAGAGAGAGAGGGUGGUGNNNNNNNNNNNNNNNNNNNNAGAGAGGAGGUGGGAGAGAGAGAGAGAGAGGGUGGUGGUCAAAAGUGGAGCUCCUCCGACAACGGCGCUCAAGGUUCCGGCAACGGUGCUUAGGGUUCUGGCAGCGUGGCGGCGAUAAGCUUCUUUUGUAACGCCCCCUAAAUUCCUCCUUAUCGAAUUACUCAUAGGUCUCUACUUUUUUUCCUGCAUUUGAUCUUCAAAUUUGCUUCGCCUGCUUUUCUUGCUUUUGCUUCUUGGAAAGGUCGGGCUUAUUUGUCAUUUUUGUUUGAUCUGUUGGUUUCGAUUUGUGCCAUUGGCUGUGGGUGGAGCAUGUAGGAUUGGAUUUCGAUCUUUCUCCCUAUGAUGCGUCUAUCUUUGCUCUUUUUCGAUUUUUUAGCUUGAUUUUUUCAUGUUUUCAUGGCAUUUCGAUUUUUUGUGUUGUUAGCCUUUGAAUGGGUUUUUCUUGUGAUCAGAUGAAGUGUGGCUCAUCGAUUGUCCACCACCCACUGUGUCGUCGGUCUCAACACUCACUGCAAACAAGCCAAGGUGAGAGAGGUCGUCGAGCUCAUGAACUUACGCACCUUGCUGAUUCCCCAACCUUUUCUCCAAGCACUUGAGGAAAUUCAAGUGCUUUUGGUGCUUGUUGCAUGUUUGACAAAAUGGCUCAACGAAGAAGGUAUCUGCUAUUUUAGUUCCGAUGGACACAGGUGUUUGAUUUAUUCAAAUCCAUAUGACAGUAAGUCUUUGGAACAACCGCCUCUCAUGACUUUCCUCUUAAAGAUAAAAGAUAAGAACGAGUACUAUCACAUGUAUAUGGGUCAGCUUUCCUUUAAAAAAUAUUAUGAAUUUCAUGUGAGGUUAUUUCGGGCCUUUUGGGAUUUGUAAGACUUAACUUUUGACUUGAUUCUAUUUUUACAACUAUUGUUAGAAUUUUUCCUGAGAUUGACCUUGGGAUGCUCUGUGGUUGUUGAUAUCAGUUUCGCAGCAUGGCAGCUGAAAUAUUUCUCAA